AAUUAUUUAAUUGUAAGUUGUAACAACCCACAUCUGAUAUGGUGUAAAGUAACCUCACAAAUGAGCUACCAUCACGAACACAAAAGCAUAUGCUCUAAUUUACCAUGUAUUUAGGAGGUCGUCGUAUAAAUAUUAUUGUAAUGACCAAUUUUAUUUUUCUCUCUAUCACAAUGGCCGUUAAUAAUCGCGUUCUUUUAUAUUUUGCUUCAAAUAUUCAAUAUUCUUCAAACGUUAAUAUUACAAUGUCUCCAAAGAUACUUAAUACAAAAUGAUCUAAAAUCUAAAAUUUUCAAUUCAUUCACCCAACCCAUCUCGUACUAUUCGAACUCCCACGUCAACCUGAAAAAUAAAUUAAGUAGGAAAAUAUACAAGCCGACGAGAAUAUGCUCAAUUCAAAAUAGCUCAAUAAUAAAUCUAGAAGAACUCAACAAAUCAUCAAUUCGUGAAGGACCUCAUACUUGGUUUUUCCUAGUACAUUACUGGUGGCCGGCCUCACCUACGUCUAUUAGCUCUUUUGGCUUUUUCAAUCCUUAAUAGAGUUAUUGGUGGUCCACUCAGUAAAUGUAUCAAUCCAUUCUAUAACAUUUAUCCAUCAUAUAAUAAUAUCAUACAUAACAUGAUUUCAAUAAAAUACCAUGGAUUUCAACAGAUAGCACACAUGCUUAAGAAGAAUACAAAAUUGGAUAUUUUAUAAAAGUACUUCAGAAUUUAGAAAGUAUAUGGUCUACCUCAAGUUUACCUCAAAUUGAUAUCGACACCAUUAGAUAUGUUUCUAUGUCCGCCAGAAAUAAUAUACUAAAAUUUUACCUCGAUCGGAUAUCAUUUCACUGUUGACUCUACGUCUUAUCUCUCAUGAUCAUAUCUGACUACACCAUAUAAUUUCUCAAGUCUCCUAUUUUUCCUUUCUAUCUUUCUUUCCCCUCUCUCUCCGUCCUUGCUCUAUCUCUCUCCCCCACUAUUUUCUUU
rnacentral:lncRNA from 1 species